rnacentral:rRNA from 1 species
UACAACAUAGAAUUAAUGCAGUGGAUCCCAUCAGAACUCCAUAGAUAAGUGCUCUCAGGCUAGAGUAGUAUUGGUAUGAGUUACCGCCCGGGAAUUCCUAGCGUUUUUU